GGAUGAACGCUGGCGGCGUGCCUAAUACAUGCAAGUCGAACGAGUUCUGAUUAUUGAAAGGUGCUUGCAUCUUGAUUUAAUUUUGAACGAGUGGCGGACGGGUGAGUAACACGUGGGUAACCUGCCCUUAAGUGGGGGAUAACAUUUGGAAACAGAUGCUAAUACCGCAUAAAUCCAAGAACCGCAUGGUUCUUGGCUGAAAGAUGGCGUAAGCUAUCGCUUUUGGAUGGACCCGCGGCGUAUUAGCUAGUUGGUGAGGUAACGGCUCACCAAGGCAAUGAUACGUAGCCGAACUGAGAGGUUGAUCGGCCACAUUGGGACUGAGACACGGCCCAAACUCCUACGGGAGGCAGCAGUAGGGAAUCUUCCACAAUGGACGCAAGUCUGAUGGAGCAACGCCGCGUGAGUGAAGAAGGCUUUCGGGUCGUAAAACUCUGUUGUUGGAGAAGAAUGGUCGGCAGAGUAACUGUUGUCGGCGUGACGGUAUCCAACCAGAAAGCCACGGCUAACUACGUGCCAGCAGCCGCGGUAAUACGUAGGUGGCAAGCGUUAUCCGGAUUUAUUGGGCGUAAAGCGAGCGCAGGCGGUUUUUUAAGUCUGAUGUGAAAGCCCUCGGCUUAACCGAGGAAGUGCAUCGGAAACUGGGAAACUUGAGUGCAGAAGAGGACAGUGGAACUCCAUGUGUAGCGGUGAAAUGCGUAGAUAUAUGGAAGAACACCAGUGGCGAAGGCGGCUGUCUGGUCUGUAACUGACGCUGAGGCUCGAAAGCAUGGGUAGCCGACAGGAUUAGAUACCCUGGUAGUCCAUGCCGUAAACGAUGAAUGCUAGGUGUUGGAGGGUUUCCGCCCUUCAGUGCCGCAGCUAACGCAUUAAGCAUUCCGCCUGGGGAGUACGACCGCAAGGUUGAAACUCAAAGGAAUUGACGGGGGCCCGCACAAGCGGUGGAGCAUGUGGUUUAAUUCGAAGCAACGCGAAGAACCUUACCAGGUCUUGACAUCUUUUGAUCACCUGAGAGAUCAGGUUUCCCCUUCGGGGGCAAAAUGACAGGUGGUGCAUGGUUGUCGUCAGCUCGUGUCGUGAGAUGUUGGGUUAAGUCCCGCAACGAGCGCAACCCUUAUGACUAGUUGCCAGCAUUUAGUUGGGCACUCUAGUAAGACUGCCGGUGACAAACCGGAGGAAGGUGGGGAUGACGUCAAAUCAUCAUGCCCCUUAUGACCUGGGCUACACACGUGCUACAAUGGAUGGUACAACGAGUUGCGAGACCGCGAGGUCAAGCUAAUCUCUUAAAGCCAUUCUCAGUUCGGACUGUAGGCUGCAACUCGCCUACACGAAGUCGGAAUCGCUAGUAAUCGCGGAUCAGCACGCCGCGGUGAAUACGUUCCCGGGCCUUGUACACACCGCCCGUCACACCAUGAGAGUUUGUAACACCCGAAGCCGGUGGCGUAACCCUUUUAGGGAGCGAGCCGUCUAAGGUGGGACAAAUGA
rnacentral:rRNA from 1 species